rnacentral:lncRNA from 1 species
GUGUUGGAUCGUGAUCCGAGGCUAUAAGGGGGGAUGAUAGCCUCUUUUCGAUUUAUACAGGUUGAUAGCGGAAUUACCUGUAAAUGCUUAAUAAACAAAUGGUUGAACAGUAAUGAUAUAAGGAUAUUAUUAUUUUAAUUGAUAUAAUAAUGUAAGUAUUACUCUUUGAAGCUUACUACAGUAUAUGAAUACUGAGUCAACUUGCUUGAUAGUGUUUCAAACACAACUAUAGUAUAUGAAUACUAAGUUAUAUUGGAAACACAAAUUGUAUUGUAGAGUAAAUGACCAGAUAACUGAAUAUAUUGAUACGCAAGUAAAUGACCAGAUAACUGGAUAUAUUGACAAGCAAGUAAGUGACCAGAUAACUGGAUAAGUUGAUAAACAAGUAAGUGACCAGAUAACUGGAUAAAUAUGAUAAGUAAUACUUGAACAAAUAUAAGGAUUUAAAACAAUGAAUGUAACCUCAGAUAGUUGACCAGAUAACUGGAUGAGGGAUCUGCGUAAAGUAGUCAACCUCUGUGUUUGACCAGAUAACUGGAAGAGGGAUCUUUUUAAUUAAGUGUUGUUUUUUAAGUAAAAGAUAGAACUAUAAUUAACAAAGAACAACACAAGAGAUUUAUACUGGUUCACCCAAACAAGGGCUAGUCCAGUCCCGACCAACUGCCGGAAUUCACUCGCCUAAAGGUAAUGGCAAAACCUUUCUAAGCUUUAAGGCUACUUCGCUUAGGAACCAGUCUUUUACGGGUAGACUCACACCUUAGAGUAUCAAGGGCACUCUUAAGAACCUCUAACUUUUACGGGUAAGUUAGUACCUUAGAGUAUCAAGGAACUCUUAAAAACCUCUCUAAGCUUUAAGGCUACUUCGCUUAGGAACCAGUCUUUUAUGGGUAGACUCACACCUUAGAGUAUCAAGGGCACUCUUAAGAACCUCUAACUUUUACGGGUAAGUUAGUACCUUAGAGUAUCAAGGAACUCUUAAAAACCUCUGAAAUCUUUAAAGGUAGACUCAACCUAAGAGUUUUCCCGGAAACUCUAUAAAACCAAACUAGAGCUUUAUGGUUGAACUCACAAACCUUCUCUAACACUUUGGUACUAUUGAGACAACCCUCUCAACCAAAGUGGACACACACAAGAGGUGAUUAGAGGAGUGGAAUAUUAAAGCAAACAACACUUCUUACUUGUAAAGAUGAACAAGAAGAUUAGAAGAAGAAGUUGGAGAGCUUUUGAAUUAAGCUUUGGAAAGCUAGGACACUUGAGCAUUUGAAAGCUUGGAAGCUUGGAGGCAAAAACGUGUGGGCAAGUGUAGAGUGAAAGCUCUUGAGUUUGCUUGUAGUGUGGUGAGUGAAAAUGAGGGGAUUACCCUUCUAUUUAUA